rnacentral:rRNA from 1 species
GACGAACGCUGGCGGCGUGCUUAACACAUGCCAGUCGAACGGAAAGGCCCCUUUGGGGGUACUCGAGUGGCGAACGGGUGAGUAACACGUGAGUAACCUGCCCUUGACUUCGGGAUAACUUCAGGAAACUGGGGCUAAUACCGGAUAGGAAUCCUUGCUGCAUGGUGGGGGUUGGAAAGCUUCGGCGGUUUUGGAUGGACUCGCGGCUUAUCAGCUUGUUGGUGGGGUAGUGGCUUACCAAGGCUUUGACGGGUAGCCGGCCUGAGAGCGCGACCGGCCACAUUGGGACUGAGAUACGGCCCAGACUCCUACGGGAGGCAGCAGUGGGGAAUAUUGCACAAUGGGCGGAAGCCUGAUGCAGCAACGCCGCGUGCGGGAUGACGGCCUUCGGGUUGGAAACCGCUUUCAGCAGGGGCGAAGCUUGUGGUGACGGUACCUGCAGAAGAAGCACCGGCUAACUACGUG